rnacentral:ncRNA from 2 species
AGUAAGGAUAGAGGCGCAAAAACCAUUAGUACACAACUUGAGGAUAAUGAGAUCCGUUGAAAAUUGUGGAAAGGGGAAUUUGCCGAAGUUUCAAGAAACCUCAUUGUUCUUGGAGCUGGUUCUGCAUUAAAUAAGUGCAGGAUUGUCAUGUAGGAAACUAUAUGGAGGGCUAUCUUACGC